rnacentral:ncRNA from 1 species
UUUGUAUCAGGGCAUAGCCAUCGAAAGGUGGUGACGCAAAGCAUCGAGGCUAACGGCACAUGUUGCCCAUGCCGGUCGAGCCGCCAAA